rnacentral:lncRNA from 10 species
AGCUUAUUACAGAACCUGACACAGUUGGGCUCCAUAAACCUUUAUUAAGCAAAUGAAUACAGGAAUGAGUCAGCUACUCCAGGCAUUCCAUCUUUAAACUAGAGGCUAUAAAUGCAAAUCACUGCUGGCACCAGACUAGUGAGAGAGCAAAACGGGACCAGCCAGGACAGCAGUCAACGGUGGAACGUGUGCUUCCAAAACAGGGACGCUGAGGAGCCCACUGUUGCCAUCCUAAAAUGUAGGCUCCAGGUAGCUAUGCCUGAUACAGUCUCAAGAAACUUGUAAAUGCUGAAAAAAAACUUAAAAAGGAAAGAGAAGACAGUACAAUACACUCAAGUCCUUGAGGCCAGCUAAGACACCUUGAAAUUGAAGACACUCAGAAAACCAGAAGCAAAGCAAAUGAAUAAGCAUUUGCUGAGCACUGGUCUGGACCAGGUGUUGCCAGAAGAGAUUCAUAUUUGAGUCAGCGGACUGGGAGAGGCAGACCCAACCACAAUGUGGGUGGACACCAUCCCAUCAGCUGCCAGCGUAACUAGAAAAAGCCGGCAGAAGAAGGUGAAAGAAGCGGACUUGCUGAGUUUUCCUGCCUUCGUCUUCCUCCUAUGCUGCCCUCGAACAUCAGGCCUCAACUUCUUUGGCUUUUGGAGUCUUGGACUUACACCAGUGGUUUCCCAGGGGCUCUCGGGCCUUUGGCCACAGACUAAAGGCUACACUGCCGAGCUUUCCUACUUUUCAGGUUUUGGAACUCUAACUGAGCCACUACUGUCUUCCUUGCUCCUCAACUUACAGACGGCCCAUCUGGGUCUUCACCCUGUGAUCAUGUGAGUCAGUUCUCCUUAAUAAACUCCCCUUCAUAUAUACAUAUAUCCUAUUACUUCUGUCCCUCUAGAGAACCCUAAUAAAAGAC